ensembl:lncRNA
AGUACUUGCCUGCAGCUUGUUUUGGAGUUGUUUUCCCAAGGUGUCCGUGUGCCUGUCAGCAGCUGGCUCAGGGAUCUUUUCCCAGUGCAGGCAGGAAGGGAGCACGCCUGGGAGCAUGGUGGGGUAUGGGUGGUGCAGAGGGACUGGGCAGCCUGGCAUGGAUGGGGGCCCUGCCAAGCACCCUGUGUGAGACAGGGCAAGCUCAGCCUUCUCUUUCCCCUCAGCAGGACUGAAGGUCCUGCAGCGAAGGAGGCUUGGAAGAAACAUGGAAGGGAGGCCAGGCGAGGCUGUGGCAAGCUGGGAGAGGAGCAGGCCGAGCAUUAUCCGUGCUGGCUGCGCUCCCGUGGAGAUGAGUCAAACUUGACCAUUCCUCUGCAGAGGAGGUGCCGAGUGCAGCCUGGGAGAGAAGAGGUGACAGCCUCAAGGCUGCUGGGCCAGUCCCCAAGGAAGCAGCAGGAACAUGCCCGGACCUUCCAUUUCGGGGCUGUUUCCUCUGUGUUACCUGCACACGGGGAAAGCACAGGUGUGUUCCACCACGCACAGCAUCCCCGGGGCACUGCUGCUCCCUCAUCCUCAUGCAGCCACCACCUGCACUGCAGCCUGUGUCCUGUCCACAUGCAGCUCCCUGUGAGGCCAGAGACAGCCACGUCAGCGCUGUGCCUGCCAAGGUGACAGGGACGCUUUCAGGGCUGUCCCCCAGGUGACAGCCUGGGCUCAGCCCCGUUACUCCCUCCUGGACCCCUUGUCGUGCCUGGCUGGAUUUCAGUGCUCUCCCUUGAGCAAGCACCUGUCUGCCAAUGCAGGGAGGAGGAGGAGCAUGUUUUUUCCAGUUAAGAGUGAACUGCUUUUCAAGUGGUCCCUCUGAAAGGGCUGGUGAGGAGAAGCAGGAAUCCAGAUGCGUUUCCCUGCUUUGUGGCUGCUGGCCCCGGCUCACACCCAGCAGGGAAGGCAGUCGGUGAUGAUUUGAUUUGAAUUGAAUUGAACUGCACUUUGGGGGGAAAACAAGAAGGUGGCAGGGGCACCGUCCAUGGAAAGGAGGGUGAUCCUGGGAAACCCAUCCCAGCCAGGAGCUGGAGGCUGUGGGUAGCCCCCACUGGCCACAGGAAGGAUGUGGAGGGGCUGGAGCUGGCAGCCAGGGUGUUCUAGUGUGGGAGGAGAAGGACUCCUCCCUUGCAUGAGCAAUUCAGGCAUCACAGAAGGCUUCGGGAGCUCUCCCAACCUUCCUGAGUUUGGAGCAGCUCUCGUUCCCAGCGAGCCCCAGCCCUGCAGAGGGACGGGGGUUUGGGGCAGGAUGAGAAGUGGGAUGGGGUAUCUCCAUCCUCUCCAUUGCUGCAGGUGCUCCCCACCCCAGCUCCAACGGAUCCCUCGGAAGCUUUGGGGGAACCAAACCUGC